rnacentral:ncRNA from 1 species
AAGAAAAAAUGGCAAAAUCACUUAAAAGUGAUGACGCAAAGCUUUAGGGGCCUCUGCCUUAGGGCAAAGCUAGCCAGCUACCAUC